AAGGAGUGCUAACUCAACAAGUAUUUACUUUAAGGUUCUUUAUGGGGGUAUAGCUCAGUUGGGAGAGCACCUGCCUUGCAAGCAGGGGGUCAGGAGUUCGAAUCUCCUUAUCUCCACCAUUGACUUAACAGAAAUCUAUGAUUUCGUUGUAAGUCAAGUGCCGUUUUGUUUCAAAUCUCUGAUUUGUCAAAAAACGGCCAAUGACCUAACCAAAGGUCAUUAGAACAUUGAAAAUCGAAUAACAGUAUAUAUUUC
rnacentral:tRNA from 1 species